GCUGAUGGCUUCUCAAUUUUUUCCUCGAGGGAUUUGGCUGCAGAGAAGGACUUAGAAGAGCUAGUUAGAUUGAGGGAACAAAUUGAGGAUCUGCAAAGGAAGUUAUUGGAGAAAGAUGAACUUCUGAAAUCAGCUGAAAUUUCAAAGAACCAGAUGAAUGUUGUUUAUACAACACUUGAUGAACUGAAACACGAGGCCGCAGAGAAGGAUUCCAUAAUUAAGUCUACUCAACUACAACUUUCUGAUGCAAAGAUCAAGCUUGCGGACAAGCAAGCUGCCCUGGAAAAGAUACAGUGGGAAGCAAUGACUUCCAAUAGGAAAGCAGAGAAGCUCCAGGAAGAUCUAGAUUCUCUCCAAGGAGACAUUUCAUCAUUCAUGGCGUUAUUUGAAGGCUUGACAAAUAAUAAUUCCGCA
rnacentral:misc_RNA from 1 species